UACAGGGGGGGCAAGCGUUGUUCGGAAUUACUGGGCGUAAAGGGUCUGUAGGUGGCCAACUAAGUCAGACGUGAAAUCCCUCAGCUUAACUGGGGAACUGCGUCUGAUACUGGAUGGCUUGAGUGUGGGAGAGGAAUGCGGAAUUCCAGGUGUAGCGGUGAAAUGCGUAGAUAUCUGGAGGAACACCGGUGGCGAAGGCGGCAUUCUGGACCAUAACUGACACUGAGAGACGAAAGCCAGGGGAGCAAGCGGG
rnacentral:rRNA from 1 species